ensembl:lincRNA
AGUGUAGGCAUACAUGAUCCUAUCAUGUAAGUAGCAUAAAUCAUCAGUGAAAAAGUUAAUAUUUAACUCAGAAAGAAUUCUGUACAUUGAGUUUUCGAGAGAUACAAACCCUAGAGAUAUUCUUUGAUUAUUAUGGAACAAUCCUGAAUGGUGCCAUAAAAUGCUAGGUAAUGCCACUUUAGGAGCUUUGGACCAAUCAUUUUAUCUUUCUUGGUUUUAGUCUGAUUAUCAAUAGAUAAUGUGGCUAAAGAAGAUAGCUUCUUAUUCUGUGUAUCUUCCAGCUAGAAAAUUGUAUGGCUAUUCAAUGUGAAAUUUGGGGAGCAUCUCAUUUUCUGGAAUUCCAUGCUUGCACGUCAGCAGUUUCACUCUGCUUCUUGUGUUGUGGCAAACUUUGGCUCCCACUUUCAGUGAGCACCAUCAUGUUUUUGAUAUCCCAGCAACCAAAUGAAAAAAGAAUGCUCAAAGGCAGUGGGGGAGAAGAAUAUCUUAGCGCAGAAAAGGGCAAACUUCCUUUCUAUUCCUGAAGCCACACAGUGUCUCAUCCUCGAAAUCUGACUGUUUAAUGUAAAAUCUAGGUAGUAAAGACAAGAAGACACAUUUUGCAUCUUUUUUUGUCUUUUUAUUUGUGUGUUCCCACGAGCCAAAUAGGGUAAAUACAUAUAUAAGAUUCUGAAGAGUGAUUGAGAAUAAAAGCACAAAAUGAAGGAGGGCCCUUUUUGAAUUUUGGAAAAUUCUGUUUUAUUCAUUGAAACAGAAAUGAAGCAAACUUCACAAAAAUUUCUGUGAUAUAUUAAUGAUAUGGUAAUUACAUCUUAAAUUUAUAUGGUAAUAGUUCUGUAUAUAUGAUCAAAUUUAAGUGUGAAAUAUUUUUAGUGACUAAAAUGAUGGCAAACUGAGUCAAUUGGUAAAAUCUUUUUAGGUUCUUUUUAUUCAAUAAAGUGAUAACCAUCCUUAAUAUGCCACUCAAGGUUGAAGAAGAAAUGAAAAAGCACGAAAGUAAUAAUGUGGGAAUACCAGAAAACCUGACUAAUGGUGUCGCUGCUGGCAAUGGUGAUGAUGGAUUAAUUCCUCAAAGGAAGAGCAGAACACCUGAAAAUCAGCAAUUUCCUGACACUGAAAGUGAAGAGUAUCACAGAAUUUGCAAAUUACUUUCUGACUACAAAGAAAAACAGAUGCCAAAAUACUCUUCUGAAAACAGCAACCCAGAAAAUGUCUCAAGAACCAGAAAUAAAUAAAGGUGGUGAUAGAAAGGUAUACUUUUAUAUUCAAAUGUUUGUGUUGAAUUAGAUUUUUACAUUAUGUUGUUUAACAAAGUGUAGUAAAUGUAGGCAUACAUGAUCCUAUCAUGUAAGUAGCAUAAAUCAUCAGUGAAAAAUUUAAUACUUAACUCAGAAUUCUAUACAUUGAAUUUUAAAGAGAUGCAAACCCUAGAGAUAUUCUUUCCUUAUUAUGGAAUAGUCCCGAAUGGUGCCGUAAAGUGCUAAGUAAUGCCACUUUAGGAGCUUUGGAUCAAUAAUUUUAUUUUUCUUGGUUUUAGUCUGAUUAUCAAUAGAAAAUGUGGCUAAAGUAGAUAAUUUUUUAUUCUGUGUAUUUUCCAGCUAGAAAAUUUUAUGGCUAUCGAAUGUGAAAUCUGGGGAGCAACUCAUUUUCUGGAAUUCCAUGAUUGUACCUCAGCAGUUUCACUCUGCUCCUUAUAUUGUGGGAAACUUUGGUUCCCAUGUUUCAGUGAGCACCUUCGUGUUUUUGAUAUCCCAGGAACCUAAUGAAAAAAGAUGCUCAAAGGCAGUGGGGGAGAAGAAUGUCUUAGCGCAGAAAAGGGCAAACUUCCUUUCUAUUCCCGAAGCCCCACGGUGUCUCAUCCUCUAAAAUGACUGUUUAAUGUAAAAUCUAGGUGGUAAAGAGGGAUGAAGACACAUUUUGCAUCUUUGUCUUUUUAUGUAUGUGUUCCCACCAGUCAAAUGGGGGUAAAUACAUAUAUAAGAUUCUGAAGAGUGAUUGAGAAUAAAAGCACAAAAUAGAGGAGGGCCCUUUUUGAAUUUUGGAAAAUUCUGUUUUACUCAUUGAAACAGAAAUGAAGCAAACUUUACAAAAAUUUCUGUGAUAUAUUAGUGAUAUGAUAAGUGCAUCUUAAAAUUAUAUGGUAAUAGUUCUGUGUAUAUGAUCCAAUUUAAGAGUGAGAUGUUUUUAAUGACUAAAAUAAUGAUAAACUGGUCAAGUGAUAAAAUCAAUUAAAAAUAUUCUUUCUAUUCAAUAAAGGGAUAACUAUCCUUAAUAUCAAACUUUCAUUCAAGGUUGAAGAAGAAAUGAAGAAGCACGGAAGUACUCAUAUGGGAUUCCCAGAAAACCUGACUAACGGUGCCACUGCUGGCAAUGGUGAUGAUGGAGUAAUUCCACCAAGGAAAAGCAGAACACCUGAAAGCCAGCAAUUUCCUGACACUGAGAAUGAACAGUAUCACAGGUAAGUCUGUGGCAACAUUGAACAGGAGAUAACUAUAUGCUGUCAAUCUAAUUCAUGAUGAACAAAUUUUAUACUUUUGCUAGGAUAUUCAGCCUUGCCUGUUAAUCAGAAAAAUGAAAAUCAGUAAACAAUGAGUUACCAUUUUUUCCAGUCAUUAAUUUAUUUGAAAAAUAGCCAGCAUUGGCAAAUGUGAGGGAAAAGACAUUUUCUUUUCUUUUCAGUGAACUUUUAUUUUAGCUUCAGGGUACAUGUGCAGGUUUAUUAUAUAGGUAAACUGUAUCAUGGAGGUUUGGGGUACAGAUUAUUUCAUCAGCCACAUAAUAAGCAAAAUACUCGAAAGGUAGUUUUUUGGUCGUCUCCCUCCUGCCAUGCUCCACCCUCAAGUAGGCCCCAGUGUCUGUUAUUCUCCUCUUUGUGUCCAUGAGUUCUCAUGUUUAGUUCCCACUAAUGAGUAAGUAUAUGUGGCAUUUGAUUUUCUGUUGCUGCAUUAGUUUGCUUAGGAUAAUGGCCUCCAGCUCCAUCUGUGUUGCUGCAAGGGAAAUGGUUUCACUGAAAAAGACAUUUCAUACACUGUUGGCAAAUACAUUUUGAACAUUAAUUUAGUAGCAUAUUCACACACACACAGAUAUAUAACAGAGUAAGGAUGUAUAAUACAUGUAAAGGAUAUUUGUGUAGAUAUGUUACAUACAUACUUACAUAUAAGGACAUAUAUUAUAGCAUUAUUAUAUUAAAAAUUUGGAGCUAGUCUACUUCCUUAUCAAUAGGAAAUAGCUCAAUUUCCAUACCCCCAAAAUAAUGUAUUAUGCAACCAUUUUUGAAAAAUGAGGUUAGAUCUAGGGUAUACUGAUUAUUUCACAGAUAAAAUGUAUUUAAAGCAUUUAGUUUGAUGACACAUCUUAAGAGUUCUUGUUAAAAUUCUUGUAAUAUCUGCUGUGUUGGAAAUGGAAGCUACAUGCUACAUUGACACUGUAACUUGUUAGCAACAAGAUUGCUGAUUAUUAAAUUUUUGUUGUCAGUGCCUGAGUGCUGAAAUAUUGGACCCUCAGUCUGAAUAUUGCCAAGGGAUUGUACAUGGGGAUCUAUAUUUAAUAUAAACAUUUCAGUGUAUUGGGUAAAACUUUUAUUAAAAUACAUGAAAGAUCUUUGAUCUACUAAACCAAGAGUUGGCCAGCUUUUUCUGCAAAGAACCAAUUAGUAAAUAUUUUAGGCUUUGUGGACUACGUAUAUUUAUUUUCUUGAGACAGGGUCUGGCUCUGUUUCCCAGGCUGGAGUGCAGUUGUGUGAUCAUGGUUGUGUGAUCACUGCAGCCUCGACUUUCUGGGCUCUAGUGAUCCUCCCACCUCAGCCUCUCUACUAGCUGGGACCACAGGUGUGCAACAUCACACCCAGCUAAUUGACACUAUGGACUGUAAAGUGAAUAAGCAUGGCUGUGUUCCAGGAUACUUGACUUACAAAAACAGUCAGUGGGCCGGAUUUGGCCCACAGAUGCUUAUUUGCUGACCCUUGUGCUAAAAGGAAGGUGCUGCUAAUGCAUUGACUCUUAUAUGUAAAAGUGUCCUGCAUGGGUGACAUUAACUUUCCUUUGAGAAAAGGAUAUAUUUGAGUAUUCACCUCACUAUAUUUUUCCACAGUGACUUCAUGUAAUUUUAAAAACUUCAUUUAUAAAAUAAGAUUAUUUUCUGCAUUUCUCUCACUUUAUUCCUGUUAAUAGAACUCAGUAUUUUACUGUGAUCAAUUACUUUCUGUAUUUGAUGAGUGUCAACUGUCCUAGAAUUGGCUGAUUUUUAUCAAGCAAGAAAUAUUCUUGUUGAGACCUUUAGUAUUUCUUGGUCUUUAUGUAUAAGCAUGAACAAAAUGAUAAUCAGCUUAUGUAAUCUAGAAAUGUUCAAGGGGCCUUUAAAACCUUGGUCUGGCAUUUAAUGCCACAUGUGUAUAAUUUUUAUAACCUUUGAAAUAUAUAAUUGUUACAUAGCAUUUGAAACCUCCACCUGUUAUGUAAAAUUUGGAAACUAUUUCUUGUCUAUCACUUUUCCAUGACUGUGGACGAAAAUUACAUCAUUCUCAGUCAUGAGUGUUAAGUAUGUUGUCCUUUAAGUAACUGUCUACACUCACGAACUCAAAUUUUCUUUCCAUUCACUCUUGAUCUCAAUGCCAGUAAGUCUUCAAUUUCAGUACUCCUCCAGAGUUGUUUUUCUCGAGGUUAUCACUACUUUUUUCUGUAAAUAAAUCUAUGCAUUUUUUCUUACACCUCAUUUUAUUUAAUGGGUCAGCAAUAUUUGAGCCAAUGGAGGGCAUCUUCUCCCUAACGGCGUCUUCAUUUGUCUUUCAGGACCUCACUCCCUCAGGCUUUUACUCCUGCCUUUCUAGUCCAUUCAUCAUGGUCUGUUUUGCUUGCUCCUCCUCAUCUUUCUCCUUUUGGACAUUGUUGUUUCUCAUGGCUCCGUCCUCAAUCUUCUUUCUCAUGACUUUUUUUUUUUUUUUAAGAUGAAGUCUGGCUUUGUCCCCUAGGCUCGUGUUCAUUGGCACGAUCUUGGCUCAUUGCAACCUCUGCCUCCUGGCUUCCAGCGCUUCUCCUGCCUCAGCCUCCUGAGUAGCUGGGAUUACAGGUGUGUGACACCAUACCUGGCUAAUUUUUGUAUUUUUAGUAGUGACAGGGUUUCCCCAUGUUGGCCAGGCUGACCUCAAACUCCUGAUGUCAGGUGAUCUGCCCGCCUUGGCCUCACGAAGCGUUGCGAUUACAGGCCUGAGCCACACUGCCUGGCCCUUCAUGACUUUUUCUACUGUAUAUAUGCUAGUGAUUUCCAAAUGCAUGUCUCCAACUCAGAUCUCACUCCUUAAUCCAGAUCUCUGUAUCAGCCUGGCUACUUGACAGGCCUAGCGUAUCAGACGUAGCUGCCUAAUAAAUAGUUAUUUGAUUAGCUGUUGGGUAUCACACACUUGUCAGAUCCAAAAUUGGGCUACUGAUGGCCUUCCUGAAAUCUACACCUCAUGUAGUCUUUCCUACUUUGGUUAAUGGCAACUCUUCCAGUUGCUCUGCCAAAAACCUCGGUGUCAUUCUAGACUCAUCUUUGUCUCUGUCUUGACACUUCACAUCUAAUCUCUCAGUAAAUCUCAUCAGGUCUACCUGAAGAAUAUGUCCAGAAGCCAGUCAUAUCUUGUACAUCUGAGCCACCAUCAUCUGCCGUCUAGAUGAGUGUCAUAGACUGGGAAUUGAUAGUCCUGGUUUUUAAAAACUUCCCCUUUCAUCAAUUCUUAACUCAGUGGAUGUAUUUAAAACAUAAGUCAAAUUGUGUCAUUCCCCUGCCCCAGCCCUUCUGAUUGCCUCCCAUUUCACGCUGA